AGUUUAUCUUACAGAGGGAAAGGAAUGCCCAAUUGCACUGGAGAUUAUCCUGUACGGACCUUGGAUUUGGAGUGUGGAUAUGGUGCUACAAUUUUUAUUGCACCAAGAAUCAUGGCAGACGAGCAUCCAUAUAGGAGGGGAGAAGAUAUCAAAGCCCCAACUAUUGUGGAUCAAACAAUCUGGAUGGAAGGAGAGAAAGUAAACAUAAGUGCACAACAUCCAGAGUGUAUGCCUCUAUUACAAGCAUGGCAACAACAAUGGGGAGAUGGAAUUAUAGGAAAUAAGAGGUAUAGGAAUAUAUCAUAGGUAGUAUUGGUUCUGGAGCUUUAAACUCAUUUAAUAUUGAGACAUUAGAAGGGAAAACAUCAGUUUUGGGUAAGAUUUCAGGGGCUAUACAGACACAUGACAGGAUUUUGGUGCAUUAUUGGAACAAGGAAUAAGAAGUGUGGAACUCUAACUGAAAGAAGCCCAAGCCUUGAAAACUUCUCUACAUUUAAAUCUAUCCAGCGUGUCUGAGAUUGACAAUGAAACUGUACUAGUAAUAUGAUGCAUACAGAUGCAAACUUAUGGGAUACAAUACAUAGAGAGAAUGGUUAAUCUGUUAAGUAAUGGGCAAUGGCCUUUUGAAUGGUUCAAAGAUCCUAUAUAUGGAAUCAGUGAAUUGCAAGAUGGAAGAAAUAUAUGGAGUUUAAUAGGAAUAAAGCCACUCUGAGGGAAGAGUGGAAAGGCAGAAUGCUGUUACACAACACAGGGAAGCAAAGAAACGCAGCAAAGGCCUGGGUGUUGCCAAAAAUUAUUAAUGGAGAAGGAUGGCAAAUAGAAUUGGCAAUUCUCAUUAGAAUAUUUUUAAAGGAUCGUCCUAGUGUCACAGCUCUUCUAAAUUUAAUGCUACAUCCUAUUGUCAUAUUUACAUUAAUGAUUUUGUUAACCUUAUUUAUACUGUUUAUACUGCUGAAUAAGAAAGCAACAAGUUUUGGAGUAAGUGAUGUAUAAAAUGAAAUUGCUUGUAAAAUUAUAAAGUGAUACAAUAAUUAAUAGCAUUAAUCAUAUAUCAAGAGAGGGGAAUGUCAGAAGAUAUAUAUUGAGAUUCAUAUAUUCAUGUAAUAUGUUGUAGGUCAUUGAGGCCUGGUAUGAAUGACAUGUGCUUGACAUGAAUACCUGCAUUGCAAAUUGGUAACCGAAGCAAGAACUAUUUGUGUAAAAACAAUCUUAUUUUCUGAGAAAUAUACGGAAAAUUAGCAGAAAAGGAAACCACACCAGCUGGACUGAUAUACAAUUGUAUAAGAAUUGAAGGAAAUGGCAUGCCUUGGAUCAUGGCAGCCUGCCCAGGAUUGUCUCUUUGGAAUUGUGUGGGUAGAAGACCUAAUAAAAUCAGGCAAAGAACCAAUGACACAACAGAA